GGGUUGUGAGGUUAAGCGACUAAGCGUACACGGUGGAUGCCCUGGCAGUCAGAGGCGAUGAAGGACGUGCUAAUCUGCGAUAAGCGCCGGUAAGGUGAUAUGAACCGUUAUAACCGGCGAUUUCCGAAUGGGGAAACCCAGUGUGAUUCGUCACACUAUCAUUAACUGAAUCCAUAGGUUAAUGAGGCGAACCGGGGGAACUGAAACAUCUAAGUACCCCGAGGAAAAGAAAUCAACCGAGAUUCCCCCAGUAGCGGCGAGCGAACGGGGAGGAGCCCAGAGCCUGAAUCAGCAUGUGUGUUAGUGGAAGCGUCUGGAAAGGUGCGCGAUACAGGGUGACAGCCCCGUACACAAAAGCGCAUGUGCUGUGAGCUCGAUGAGUAGGGCGGGACACGUGGUAUCCUGUCUGAAUAUGGGGGGACCAUCCUCCAAGGCUAAAUACUCCUGACUGACCGAUAGUGAACCAGUACCGUGAGGGAAAGGCGAAAAGAACCCCGGCGAGGGGAGUGAAAAAGAACCUGAAACCGUGUACGUACAAGCAGUGGGAGCACCCUUCGGGGUGUGACUGCGUACCUUUUGUAUAAUGGGUCAGCGACUUAUAUUCUGUAGCAAGGUUAACCGUAUAGGGGAGCCGGAGGGAAACCGAGUCUUAACCGGGCGUUAAGUUGCAGGGUAUAGACCCGAAACCCGG
rnacentral:rRNA from 1 species